UACGUAGGGGGGCAAGCGUUGUCCGGAUUUAUUGGGCGUAAAGAGCGUGUAGGCGGCCAGACAGGUCCGCUGUGAAAACUCGAGGCUCAACCUCGAGAUGUCGGUGGAAACCGUCUGGCUAGAGUCCGGAAGAGGAGAGUGGAAUUCCCGGUGUAGCGGUGAAAUGCGCAGAUAUCGGGGAAGAACACCCGUGGCGAAGGCGGCUCUCUGGGACGGUACUGACGCUGAGACGCGAAAAGCGUGGGGAGCGAACAGG
rnacentral:rRNA from 1 species